GCCUAGCGGUUAAUACCCGCUAGGAAAGACAUCACUCGCAGAAGAAGCGCCGGCUAACUCCGUGCCAGCAGCCGCGGUAAUACGGAGGGUGCAAGCGUUAAUCGGAAUUACUGGGCGUAAAGCGCGCGUAGGUGGCUUGAUAAGCCGGUUGUGAAAGCCCCGGGCUCAACCUGGGAACGGCAUCCGGAACUGUCAAGCUAGAGUGCAGGAGAGGAAGGUAGAAUUCCCGGUGUAGCGGUGAAAUGCGUAGAGAUCGGGAGGAAUACCAGUGGCGAAGGCGGCCUUCUGGACUGACACUGACACUGAGGUGCGAAAGCGUGGGUAGCAAACAGGAUUAGAUACCCUGGUAGUCCACGCCGUAAACGAUGUCGACCAGCCGUUGGGUGCCUAGCGCACUUUGUGGCGAAGUUAACGCGAUAAGUCGACCGC
rnacentral:rRNA from 1 species